GGGUGCGAUCAUACAAGCACUAAUGCACCAGAUCCCAUCACAACUCCGCAGCUAAGCAUGCUUUGGCAAGAGUAGUACUAGGAUGGGUGAACUUCUACGAAGUCCUCGUAUGGCACUCC
rnacentral:rRNA from 1 species